GAGACCUAGGCCCAGGCCCCAGGGGAUGGGGCCUUUGCCCCAGUUGCUAUAGAGACAGACAGGCAGCAGCUGCUGGAGGAGCAGGGAUGGCCGUGACAGCCAUUGCCAGGGCCUCACAGGCGGAUCGGACUGGGAUUGACCAACGGGCUGCCCGUGUGGCUUUCAGUCCCUAAGAGAAACCAGCCUUCUGGCCCCGGGGGCACUGGGAGUAGGCAGCCUGGCACCUUGGCAUCCCCUGCGCUGUGGGCACCCACGAUUUCAGUGCUGUUGAUUACUGUAGCAGAGGACAGAGGGUUACAAGAGAAAGCAUUUUAAAGAUCACAUGUACUUUCCACAAGCUGUGCUGUUUAAUUAUUCUCUAUUAGGGCAAUGAAGCCUGACUUCCCCAUUUCACCUUUCUUGUAUUGUGAUAUGUAAACACCAGCUGCGAGUACUUGACAAAGAACGAUUUUUUUUUUUUAAAGAAAAAGCUUCCUUCAGAUUCACAGAAACCCCCCAUUAAUUAUGGGCCUGAUUCUGCAAAGCACAGAACACAUUCAAUUCUAUGUGGUGCCCCGUUGAGUGCAACUAGCAAGGUUUGGGGUUCAUCUUAAAAUGUUUGUAUGUUGGAGGCAGAACCUGAUGUAAAUGUUAUAGGUUGUGUCUAUUUUUUAUGAGAAAGGAUCACUCUCUGUAAGGCACAGCAUGAACCACGUAAAUGCCUUUCUGGAUAUUUAUACGAAUGUACAGGAGCAGUAUCCUGAUGUAGUCCAUGUAACACUUCUAUCUGCUAGGUAAAGACCUCCAGAUGUGAGAUUGCUCCUUGCCUAAGCUUGCAUUUGUCAUUUGUGGACUACUGUGUUUAAUUUUGCAUUGAUCUAUUAAAAUGAUCAAUUUUAAAAAGUGCAAUUUAAUAAUAAACAAAUUGAGCUGGAUGUAUUGUUUCCAGACUUAUUUUAAAUAAUUAUAGUUAGGAUUUUGAAUGCAGUCAACCCACAGACUGAAAAAUUGAGAGAAUUUUUGGUAAGAAUGAGAGAGAAAUUUACUAUAUUUUAAAAUGACAUUUAAAUAAUUAAAUCCUAUUUAAAACACUUUACAGUGUUACACUAGAAUGCAUUUUAAAGAUCAAAUAUACUUUCUAUAAGCUGUGAUAUUUGUUUAUUCUAUAUCAGGGCAAUGAAAACAGACUUCCUGUUUUACCCUUCUUUAGAGCUUGGUCCUGCUGUGAGGGCAGGGGACUGGAUUUGAUGACCUCUCAAGGUCCCUUCCAGUUCUAGUGUUCUGUGAUUCUAUAGCCACCUUCUAAUCAAUUUACAAAGAUGGCCAAGCUCUGAGGGGCAAUUCCAACUUUUUAGUCUUGUGAUUGUACAGCACCUAGCAUGAUAGGGGUCCAUGAAUAGGCUCUUUGCUGCUAAUGCAAUGCACUAAAAAUACCUUCACUUUCUAUUUCUCCCGCCCAGCCAUAAUGUGGCAGCAUCUGGGUGUUCAGGUUACAUAAAGGCUUGUUUUUACAGCUCUCCCAUCGGCCCAAGUUUCACCUCAUCUUGUCUGCUUUGAUCAAGUCAGACUCGUCGCUACCCGUGUCACAGAUCUUUAGGUUUAAAAAAACUUGUAUUACCAAUUGGUUGCCCACCAAUUUUGCAGGCAAACUAGCUUUGAUAACCUGGGGCCUGGGAGUUUUGCCAUGGACUUUAAUUGGAGUAGACUCAGUUUGGGGUCUUUUUUGCCAUUUCAGAUCGAUAGUGUGAAUGAUCUUACGUUACGAGGAAUGCACCUUUAAAAGGGUUUUCAUCUGAGAACUCCUUCCAUUAUUGCAAGAUUCCUUGAUUGCUUUGUCUGGUGCAUGAUGAUGGGCUGGAAUGUGUGUGAGCAGAAGAUCUCAAUGUUCUUUACAAACAUUAACUCUAUGGACAUGCUUGUGAGCUACCCUAGGCUGAUUGAUGGAGAACGUGCAAGUCCUGAGAGGUCUCAACACUGAUUCACUGAAGGCCUGAACCUGAAUGGUGCUGCACACCCUCAACCCCCCUGGAAGACAAAAAGCCUGUUUCCAUUGAAGUCAAUGAGAGCUGGGGGUGAUCAAUAAACAUCGGAAGGACUUACUGCUGAUUUAUCCUGGAGAUUAACCCCUGUUUCUGCAGUUGGUGACCAGUUACAGCUGUAGCUGCACUGGGAUAAAGACCUAAAUCAAGCGAGGAAAGCUUUGAUAUGUACAAAUGGAAUUGAGCUUGCUUUCAAGUAGGUGCAGCUCUCUAUGGCGUGACCUUGGUUCCUAGCCACCAACUGCUGAAAUCCCCAGUUUAAAAAACAAGGCCAUGGCCACCUUUCUGUAUUCUGCAGUGUCCGCCUCAGGCUGGACCAUUGUCCUUUCUUUCUGCCAAGAUGCACGUAUUGGUUACCUGGUUUGGGUAGGGUUAGGUUUGAAAUAGCAUAUUUACUCUUAGGCCCUGAAUUUUGGUGGCUAUACUGUAAACACUAUAACUGAUUUUCAUACUGAAAUUUCUCUUCCAAAAUGUGAACGUUUGGGAAAGCCUGAAAUAAAUGGAAAAAUUGUUCUUAUUUGCAAAGAAGCCCGCUACCAAAAGCUGCUGGGCUUUUGCACUCAAAGGAAAUCUGCUAGGUCUCCCACAAACAAUGCCUAGAAACAGUGGUGCAGUGUAAAUUAUGUUUGAUUUUCAUGUACUCCAUUUUCCCUGAGAGAUCCACUGUGUUGCUUCUCUAUGCACACCCAUAGUUAGACAGCCCUAGCCUAAAGAGAGUAAAACAAAGCAGACAAAGGAU